rnacentral:rRNA from 1 species
GUGAGGAAUAUUGGUCAAUGGGGGAAACCCUGAACCAGCAACGCCGCGUGGAUGAUGAAGGCCUUCGGGUUGUAAAAUCCUUUUCUGAGGGACGAUAAUGACGGUACCUCAGGAAGAAGUCCCGGCUAACUACGUGCCAGCAGCCGCGGUAAAACGUAGGGGGCGAGCGUUAUCCGGAUUUAUUGGGCGUAAAGCGCACGUAGGCGGCGCUGUAAGUUGGACGUGAAAGCUCCCGGCUCAACUGGGAGAGGUCGUUCAAAACUACAGUGCUUGAGGUUGGAAGAGGAGAGCGGAAUUCCCGGUGUAGUGGUGGAAUGCGUAGAUAUCGGGAGGAACACCAGUGGCGAAAGCGGCUCUCUGGUCCACACCUGACGCUGAGGUGCGAAAGCGUGGGUAGCAAACGGGAUUAGAAACCCCGGUAGUCC